GAAUUUUUAGUUUAAUUUUUAAAAUGUCUAGUUGUGGUCUAGAUGAUUGUGAAUUUA
rnacentral:tRNA from 1 species